rnacentral:tRNA from 1 species
GGAGGGGUUCCCGAGUGGUUAAAGGGAUCAGACUGUAAAUCUGACGACUUAAUGUCUUCGAAGGUUCGAAUCCUUCCUCCUCCA